rnacentral:rRNA from 1 species
CGGUANACCGUUCGAACGAUCGAAGCCUUACGACGUCAAGACGUCUUGUACGGACUCGGUCGACGUAGGCGUUAGGUCCCGAANACGGGCCGGGACCCGAUACCGAAGGUUUAGCCGGUUACCCUUACACGGACUUUAGUUCGGUCCCCGAGACGCGUGGAAAGUUCGUGGACGUGACGUCCGAUCGCGUGACUACGUGCACGUACUUCCGUACCUUUCGACGCCGUACGCGACCACUACGCGAACGCGGAUUCCGGUAGGACGGCGUACGUAGACCGUAGGACCUUCUCGGUCGGGAGUACGGAUUACGUAAGUAACGUAAGCUAAUACCGUACACGAACAAUACGGAGUUGAGACCAACUGUCAUUUAUUUGUAAGGGACGAAUUAGCUCCACCUACAGAAGUGACCNCGCGUUGUAGUUAGCUAGUAGGUAGGAGGUAGUAGGCUCACCUAGGCGACGAUACAUAGCCGACCUGAGGAGGGUGAUUCGGCCACACGUGGGACUGAGACACGGCCCAGACUCCGUACGGGAGGACAGCAGGUAGGGAAUCUUCGGACAGUGGGGCAACCCUGACCGAGCAACGCCGCGUGAGUGAAGAAGGUUUUCGGAUC